AAGCUUGUAUUAGAAGUGGGAUGAGGUGUGUGGUGGAUUUCUAUCAUUUCGCCCUUUUUAUACGCCUACAUUAAAUUCACGUAAACACUCUAUAUAGGGGUAUAUUUGCAAUGAUACCCUUUUGUAUGCGGAAUUGAUUAUAAGAGGACGUAUUACCCUUUAGACGCUAUAUAUAGACAUACUCAGAGAAUGAGUUGCAAACGUAUUGACAGAGCAGCGGGCGCGACUUCGACGCACUAAGAGCACAUAGUGCUGUGGAAGUGUAGUGACAAGAACGUACUGUAAGCUACGCUUUGGCGAAAUUUUCGGAGCCAAAAGUUCCCAGCAUUCUCUGUAGAAGUCAGAGGUUGGAGGAUUUUUAUACAACACCAUAGAAGGACUUUGUCUACUAGACACAAAUUAUCACUUGUCUACUAGUCACAGCUUAUCACAUCAAUAUUAUGCGGUGUUAAUUCCUAGUGACCAACACCGAAAAAUGAAAUGAAAUGACAUUUUUCCCGGACAGCGGCACUACGGCCUACUCUUAUAUCGAAUUCCAACUCUCAAGGGAUCUUUUACGUGCACACCAAUGUGUACACGGGACCUCGGUUUUUCGUACCUGUCCACCCGAAUGACUAGACAGCUGUCCUUGUCAGGAACCGCACCGGAAAAUCUGGAUGAACUUUCUCGGCCAAUGCAGGGAUCGAACACCCGACCUCCAGGCUAGCGAGCCAGCGUCUUACCCACUUAGCUACCGUGCCCCUCCCCCAUAGUUCAAAGUUCAUUACUACAGCCGAUGGAGUUUCACACGGCCAGUGUAUGUGGAUAUUUCAUCGAUUUAUGGACGAUUUGGAUUCAAGACUUUGGUGGCCAUUCUCCUACAAGUAUGGUCAAAAGAAAGCUGUACGAUCGUGUUACAAGUGAUGCAAACCGCGCCUUUGAAUGACAUUUUAUAAAUGUGCUGCAUAUGUAACCACGCUCAUCAUCAUUUGAUUUCAGAAAUAAACAAACAAAAUCUAUGUGAUGUAAAAAUAUUUAAAACAAUGAAAGACUGUGUAUCAAAUAUAAAAUGUAGAUAAAUGAUUCAGAUUACUGGUUCGUUCGUUCUUGUUUUUGUGCCCAUCCCUCCUCCACUGUCCGCUCUGAGUUUCCAGACUAUUACUAAUUUCUAACCGUUGUGUGUUCUGAUCAAUGUGUGUUCUGAUGGCAACUAUACCUGUACAGCUAGUAAUAAUAUUGGUCAACCAGUAUCUAAAACCAUUCCACUCUAUGUUAGAUGUUCUCCAAGAGAGAACACAAUGACCAAGAGAUUCAUCACUAAUAGAAUAAAUACAACAAUAAAUCUAGAAGUUGAUAUAAUCGCCUACCCUCGACCAACCUUCACCUGGCACCAUGCACCUACAAGACAGAUAAUAAACACAGCCAUAACAAAACAACUAUCAACUAUAAACUAUAAAUCAACAGUAGAAAUAACUCUAACCUCUACUCUAUUUGGUGAUUAUAUAGUAUCUGUAACAAAUGAUAUUGGUGUUCAGAACUUCACUAUUACAGUCAUUAAUGGAGAACCUCCAAAGCCAGUAAAGGAUCCAGUCGGAAGUAAUAACACAUCUACUAUAGUUGGAAGUAUUAUUGGUGUAUUGAUAGUUAUUGCUAUAAUAGUUGUUAUUGUUGUGAUAAUAUAUCGUUAAAAGGCGUCAAAAGCUAAUUAUAAUACGUACGAUGGACUUGGAGUUGUCCCCAGUUCAACCAGUCAACCUGUUUAUGAUGAAAUGAAUUCCUAUACAACUAGAUCUAAUGAUACAACAGCACGUGCAGAUCAAACUGCGAUUGCAGGAUCAUUGUGUCAGUCCAGUGUAUGUCAACUCUGUACCACUGUAUCAACGUAUCAUGUUGAAAACAUUGAAUGGAGCUGCUAAUCGUUUUUUUUUUAUAUAUUUGUCUG